UCCAGCCUCGUCCCUCUGUCCUCAUCCUCCAGCCUCGUCCCUCUGUCCUGAUCCUCCAGCCUCGCCCCUCUCCUCUGUCCUGAUCCUCCAGCCUCGUCCCUCUCCUCUGUCCUGAUCCUCCAGCCUCGUCCCUCUCCUCUGUCCUGAUCCUCCUCGAUCUGUCUGCAGCAUUUGACACGGUCAAGCACCAACUCCUGAUUUCCACCCUGGCUGAGAUGGGCAUUUCAGGGACUGCCCUCUCUGAGUUUACAUGGCCUGGAGGGGGUUAAUGAGAGAGUAUCUGCCUGAUGGCCUAAAAGCUCAUCACCUGAAGCUCAACCUCGACAAGCGGACCUGCUCUUCAUGGCUCACAGAGCAGGAACUCUCAGUCAUCAUUCCUGGUACUACAGUGGCUGCCUCCCGCUCUGCCAGGAGCCUGGGGGUGGUCCUGGAUGACCAGUUGGACUUCAAAGAGCAAGUUGCAGCGACAUCACUGUCCUGCAGGUUCCUUUUGUCCAACAUCAGGAGGAUUCGACCAUACUGUUCCUGUCUAGGCUAUGGUAAUCUCCUGAGUGGACGACUGCAACUCCUUGCCCUGCUCCCAUGUCUGCCAGCUUGCACCAUCCAGCUGCUACAACUCAUCCCACCGCUGCUGCUUCAAAGUUCUCACACAUCACUCAGGAUAUGGGGCGGCCUGUAGCGUAGUGGUUAAGGUAAAGGACUGGGACAUGCAAGGUCGGUGGUUCAAAUCCUGGUGUAGCCACAAUAAGAUCCGCACAGCCGUUGGGCCCUUGAGCAAGGCCCUUAACCCUGCAUUGCUCCAGGGGAGGAUUGUCUCAUGCUUAGUCUAAUGAACUGUACGUCGCUCUGGAUAAGAGCGUCUGCCAAAUGCCAAUAAUGUAAUGUAAUGUAAUGUAAUCACUCCUCUGGCUACAGUCACUCCACUGGCUACAGUCACUCCACUGGCUACAGUCACUCCACUGGCUACAGUCACUCCUCCGGCUACAGUCACUCCUCUGGCUACAGUCACUCCGCUGGCUACCAGGUUCUGCCAGGAUCAGAUUCAAAGUUCUGACUCUGGCUUAUGCUGCAGCCAAAAAAACCGGCCCCUCUCUACCUACAGGGCAUCAUUCAGCCCUACGGCCAGCUGAACCACUCCCCUACAGGGCAUCAUUCAGCCCUACGCCCCAGCUGAACCACUCCCCUACAGGGCAUCAUUCAGCCCUACUCCCCAGCUGAACCACUCCCCUACAGGGCAUCAUUCAGCCCUACGCCCAGCUGAACCACUCCCCUACAGGGCAUCAUUCAGCCCUACUCCCCAGCUGAACCACUCCCCUACAGGGCAUCAUUCAGCCCUACGCCCAGCUGAACCACUCCCCUACAGGGCAUCAUUCAGCCCUACGGCCAGCUGAACCACUCCCCUACAGGGCAUCAUUCAGCCCUACGCCCAGCUGAACCACUCCCCUACAGGGCAUCAUUCAGCCCUACGCCCAGCUGAACCACUCCCCUACAGGGCAUCAUUCAGCCCUACGCCCAGCUGGACCACUCCCCUACAGGGCAUCAUUCAGCCCUACGCCCAGCUGAACCACUCCCCUACAGGGCAUCAUUCAGCCCUACACACCAGCUGAACCACUCCCCUACAGGGCAUCAUUCAGCCCUACACCCAGCUGAACCACUCUCCUACAGGGCAUCAUUCAGCCAUACGCCCAGCUGAACCACUCCCCUACAGGGCAUCAUUCAGCCCUAUGCCCAGCUGAACCACUCCCCUACAGGGCAUCAUUCAGCCCUACGCCCCAGCUGAACCACUCCCCUACAGGGCAUCAUUCAGCCCUAUGCCCAGCUGAACCACUCCCCUACAGGGCAUCAUUCAGCCCUACGCCCAGCCCAACCACUCCCCUACAGGGCAUCAUUCAGCCCUAUGCCCAGCCCAACCACUCCCCUACAGGGCAUCAUUCAGCCCUACGCCCCAGCUGAACCACUCCCCUACAGGGCAUCAUUCAGCCCUACGCCCCAGCUGAACCACUCCCCUACAGGGCAUCAUUCAGCCCUACGCCCAGCCCAACCACUCCCCUACAGGGCAUCAUUCAGCCCGACACACCAGCCCAACCACUCCCCUCUGCUGCCACAGGCCGACCUGCUCAUCCUACCAGCCGUGUGAAUGUCCUGACUGCAGAGCUUCUCCACCCUAGAGAACUGCUCCCCAUAAGAGCUGCACCCCAUAAGAGCUGCUCCCCAUAAGAGCUGCUCCCCAUAAGAGCUGCACCCCAUAAGAGCUGCUCCCCAUAAGAGCUGCUCCCCAUAAGAGCUGCUCCCCAUAAGAGCUGCUCCCCCUAAGAGCUGCUCCCCAUAAGAGCUGCUCCCCAUAAGAGCUGCUCCCCAUAAGAGCUGCUCCCCAUAAGAGCUGCUCCCCCUAAGAGCUGCUCACUCACUGCCCAUUUCCACCACAGUAUCAUGUCUUCACACUGAGCCUCACCUCCUUCGCGGGAGUCCCCUUGUCUAUUGUCACUUGUUUUUCACUUAUCUUUAGGGCCUUGUAUUUUAUACCUUUUUAUACCUUUUAAUCUAGACUUAGGUGGCAUGGAUGGUGCAGUGGGUAGCACUGCCGCCUCACAGCAAGGAGGUCCUGGGUUCGAAUCCAUGUCGGCCGGGGCCUCUCUGUGUGGAGUUUGCAUGUUCUCCCCGUGUUUGUGUGGGUUUCCUCUGGGUACUCCAGUUUCCUCCCACAGUCGAAAGACAUGCACGUUAGGCUGAUUGGAGAGUCUAAAUUGCCCGUAGGUAUGAGUGUGUGAGUGAAUGGUGUGUGUGCCCUGCGAUAGACUGGCGACCUGUCCAGGGUGUAUUCCUGCCUUUCGCCCAAUGUAUGCUGGGAUAGGCUCCAGCCCCCCUGCGACAAGCGGGUUAGGAUAAUGAAUGAAUGAAUCUAGACUUAUCUACCUCAUGUACUGGACAUAUGUUUAUGGCCUUACAACCAAGCAUAUAUUAAUUGUGUGUUAGGUUGUUUGUAUGACUUUGAUAUGCACUGUUUUUUAUGUCACUUUUGAUAAAAGCAUCUGCUAUAUUAAAUGCAAAACAAAAAUGUAAUACUGUGGUAAAUUAGUUAUUUAGCUGACGCAUAUAUCCAAAGUGACUUACAGUUGAUAUGACUAUCCCCGCUGACCAGAUCCUCUCUGUGUGGAGGUUCUCUGGGCGCUCCGGUUUCCUCCCACACUCAAACACACACGUGUCAGGUCAGGUGUGCUCCUGCUGUUGUCCUUGACCCAGGCUCUGGCCUCAGAGCUGGAGCUGGUCCCCAGGUGCUGCAUUGUGGCUGCACACUGCUCCUAAGUAACUGGGAUGGGUCACAUGCAGAGGACACAUUACCCCACAGGGUUCAGUAAAGUUCAUCCAUCUCCAAAUCAGAGGACCCCGGAGGCCCAGCUUGAUACAUGAGCACCAACUGCUUCAAUAAGCAAAAGGGUCUGGAACCACAUUGUUAUAUGUAGCAUAUGUAGGACUAGUAUGCACAUAAUUAAUGCUCAUUGUUAGAUGAGCCAAGAUUCAGUGUAAAUUGCUGUAUUUUCAGUUUGUGAUGGAAGACGACUCAUGGCUGUAGUGGGGAGAUCCUGCCACUAGGGGGCGCCAGAUCAGAGCAGCCCAGAGCCCCACUGUGGCCCAGCUGGGCUUUUAUUUCUCACACAGUUUGGCUGUUUGGCCACUUCCUGAAUUAUGUGUAUGUGUGAUUUUUAAAAUUUGCUCAAAUUAAUACAGUUGCGUAAAUCCAACAUAAAUCUUUCAUGGCCAAAUCACAAGAGGAAAUUGUGUGCAAGUGAAUGACUUCUGCGUGAAUGACCUCUGCGUGAAUGACUUCUGCGUGAAUGACUUCUGUGUGAAUGACUUCUGUGUGAAUGACCUCUGUGUGAAUGACCUCUGUGUGAAUGACUUCUGUGUGAAUGACUUCUGCCUCUCUGUACAGUGCACGCAUCGGGCUCAUUAUCACUUAUUUCUCAAAUAUAAUUUUGUUGCAUCAUGUA